AAUUGCAAUUCCAUAUUCAGUAUAUUUUAUUAUUCUAAUCGCAUGUCUUGUUCAGCAGUUGUCCUUUCUCUAGCAUUGCUCACGUGUAUUUUUUUUUUUUUUUUAAUUUUCAGGAAGGUAGGGGCUUUGGGACCCAAUGGAAAGCAGAAGACGCAGUGAUCUGCCGUUUAAAUCCCUGUCUCUGAAUCUACACCCUCAGGGAAUUUCAUGAGAGAGGAAAGGCUGAGGUCAGAAUUCUUUUAUGAGAAGACUUCUUCAGUGAUGAGAGAAGUCUCCAGACUCAGGUGGGAAUCCUUAAAGGAUGAAAUCCUCCAAUAUGAAGCAGCUUUCCUCAGCAGACAAAAGUACAACGAAGGACAAAGGAUAAUAUUAAAGUAUGUUGAAAAGAGUGCAGCAGAGAGCCUGCCUCCUCAGAAUGGAACCAGCCACCAACCAGAAUGGAGUCUGGCCACAGGUGAGAUUUGAGAAAGUGACAUUGAUGAGUGACAAUUUCAUAUAAAUCCUCUUCUUAGUCAACUUUUAAAGUUUUCUAUUGAUUCCAUGCGUUUGUUAAAAUCAAAAUGGUCUCUAAAUUAUUUUUUGUUGCCAUUUCCCGUGAGAUGAUUCUCGAUUACAUUAAUCUACCUGAUUGUAUACAUGUUGUGUUUAACCUAUAUCAAUCACUUCAGAGAUGUUCUUAACCAUUCAAUUAUUUGAAUUUUGA
rnacentral:lncRNA from 1 species